rnacentral:lncRNA from 1 species
CCCGAGUUUGGAUGAGACGACUCCAAUAUGCAAAAUUUCAAAUGGCAUAAAGCUACAAGUUAACCCCAAGUUAUUACGAGUCGACCCUAAAUGGUCUUAGGUCUAAAGAUAGAGAGCACUAUUUUUUAGCUUGUUUUCAAGCCAACUCUCUCAGAUCAAGAGCCAACUUGAGCAAAUUUGGAGUCCAUCCCAAGUUUAGUUAAGUCAACCCCGAAUGGACUUAGGCAAAAUACAGAGAGAUACC